UGCUGCCUACGGGGCGCAGCAGUCGGGAAUAUUGCGCAAUGGAGGAAACUCUGACGCAGUGACGCCGCGUAUAGGAGGAAGGUUUUCGGAUUGUAAACUAUUGUCGUGAGGGAAGAAGAUGACAGUACCUCAGGAGGAAGCUCCGGCUAACUAUGUGCCAGCAGCCGCGGCAAUACGUAUGGGGCAAGCGUUAUCCGGAUUUACUGGGUGUAAAGGGAGCGCAGGCGGCCUGCCAAGUCUGGUGUGAAAAACCGGGGCCCAACCCCGGGCCUGCAUUGGAAACUG
rnacentral:rRNA from 1 species